rnacentral:lncRNA from 1 species
AAUUUUUUUUUCAUACUGCAUUGUUGCUGUUUUUCGAACUGUUGAGUAAAUUUUCUUGUGGGAUUUAUUUCUACCAUUGUGUCAUAUGUAACUAUGAUUGAAAUACAAUGUAAGAAACUAUGGAAGACUCAUGACAAAUUUGACAUUGUCCCCUUCAGAUUUUGGAUUGAUGUUUUCUGUAGUGUAUGCAUAAUUUUAUCAGAUUCUGCUAUAUGAUAUUGACUAUAGAUUAAUAUCUAAUUAUUGAUAACAUAUGAAAGGCAAGUUACAUUAUUACAUAUGCAUCUCAAUUUGUCCGUAUACGUAUUAUAUUGUAAUCAUUUACAUCUAUACAAUUAUGCACAGAACAUAUGAACAUCACUCCACUUACAUCAAUUAAUCUAAAGAUGACCAAUUCAUUCAAGAGUGGUCUUGUUCCAUCCAGUUCAUAUAAAACCUUCCUCCUUGUUUUUUAUCUACCUCAACCCUUAACCUUUCUUCUUUGACUCCCCUGCUUACCUUCAGAAGCAAGUCGAACUUGACAUGGUCUUCAAUGACCUGCAAUUUUAGCAGAAAAAUGUCGACCGAGUAAGGUCAAUACAUCAAAAAGAAUAUAAACAGGUCUGUUGAAGGAAGAGAAGUAACGAAAGAAAGGGACAGGGGUGUGCAACCACAAGAGAUUCAACCAAAUCUUCAGUACAGAGGCCAGCAAUUCAUAAAAGUUAACAAAUAUAACUGCUCACCUUGGUUUUGGCUUGAACAAUGUCCUGGAGUUUAUACGGAGACAGAGAGUUGGACCUCCGUGUAAUGGAUUUCACAGCAUAAUUAGCAGCAUCUUUGACAUUGGGAUCGUGAUUUGGAACUUCAUACCAUCCUAAUUUGUGUCCCUCUGAAAUAAAAUUGGUACAAUUUCUCAUAAACAACCAUUGAAAUUUAAAAGAAAAUAAAGAGAAUAUCCUUUUGGAGUAACAACUAGGGUAGCAAAAUCAGUAUAAGCAAGUAAAAACCCAGUGUGGUUCAACUUGGAUAUUACACAGACAUCAGAGAGCCCUUUUUGUUAAAUAACCUGUGCGGUUCAGCUUGAAAAUUUUGGAAGGGGGAGGGAGUAUCGGCUCCUAAGAAUAUUACAGUUUCAUCACCAAGUAUUGCGAAAUAAUGGUUAUUAAGAUGAAGAAUCAAAACAAACAAAUCUCACUAGAUAGAUAACCAUCUAUGAACACCCAUAUCAACAUAAGGUACAAACCAAGAACCUUUGGCUUGUUAUAUAGCCAAACAGACACAUAUAUCUGAUUCAUACUGCAUCAAAAGUGCAAGAAAGAUAACAGGGAGAAAUUAUGGUACACCAUAGUUUCUUCUCUACAAUCAAUAAGAGCUAUGGGGCUUUGCUCAUGAACAUCAUAAAGAAAUAGCAGAGAGGAAAGAGUGGCAGAGACAGGUAAGGCCAUCAACCCAAUUUUAGAGCUUUCUAAGUGGCAGAGUAAUAGGGACUUGGGCAUUAUCGAGUCUCACAUCAGGUAGUAUGGGAUGUUCAAAAUCAAUGGAUUAUUAAGUGGUAGAAAGGGUCAAGUAAAAUGAUUCAAGCUAUGAUUAAUUCAAAUUGCAGUAACUAGAAAGUCUUCCGGUCACAUGAAUCUGGAAGUUAACCCUCUACAUUACAGUAAAAGACGUUUUUGUUAAUAUUUUAUCCUUCUAGUAAACUAUGGGGACAUUGCAUGGUUACUUGGAUGAGUUAAGGGAAUAACAAGAGUCAUAUAACAUGCUUGAACAUUUUCCAAGUCAUUUGGUAAUGACUUCAGAAACGUGCGAGUUGAAAAAUUAGCAAAACUGAUCAAUUUAAUAAUAUGCACCUCUAGACUUAUAAAUUAUGACCAAAUUCAUUUAUCCACUGCCAUUUGCUAAUUAAAAGCUAUGUUAUCAAUCUCAGAUAGCGUCACGGCGCGGCCAUCUCUAAAAAUGGAACAGAACGGGAGCGAGAAGCAGAAUGGCCGUUCUCUAAAAAUUGAAUCCCAUUAUUACGCUAGUUCCAGCCGAAUCACCCAUAUGUGACGGAACGGCACAGCCUGACGCGGUUUUCUUGAUUUUGCUGUUCCAUGCCGAGAUAACGGCCGGAAUGGCCAAGUUUAAUAACAGAGAUUAAAAGGACUUAUAAAUUCAACUCUGAAUUGACGAGACAGGGCGCAACAAAGGGAUGAGGAAAUAAAUACUAAAAAUGGAAAUUCACGAGUAGAUAGAUAUAAGCAGAAAAUCACCUUGCUUAACACCGAGAUCAGAACUCAUAAAGGGAGAGAUGACACGAGCAAGUUUGAAUUCUUGCAACUGCUUGAAAUUCAUCCACGGCUUCACCCAAAUUUUGGCUUCAUAUAUCCUCCUCUUUCCUGCAUCAACUGCUUCCAGGGUAAGAGAAUAUACUUUACCUGCUACAACCUGUUCUUUGGCUUUCAACACCGUAACAUAUUCAAGAAACGCAUUCUGCAUAGAAAAAAUACAAUAUAUAAAUAAACUUUGUUAACCCUCAGAGAUUGGUCUUGUGGUGAAGGAUUGGGUCCUGAGAAGUGCAUGCCCGGAUACCAAGAUUUCAAAUAAAUAAAUAAACUUUGAUUAAUAAUUUCUUGCAUUUCAAUCUCUUCUGAACCGAAAAGGGAAUUUAAUCUAUUUUCGAAUGCUCUAUUAAAUUAACAAAACCUAAUUUACAAAAUCCAAAUCAACGAAUCAUUAUCAAACCCAAAAGUCGCAUAUUUCAACAAUCUAAUAUAGUAAUAAAUUGAAAUCAAGGAUUAAAACCAGUCAAAAAGGGAAAAAAAGAAAGAAAAAAAACCUCUUUGUUGUUAUGUUGUUGUACAGCGAAACGAGCGAGGCUUUCGAUUUCUGCAAAAUCAUUGGGAGAUUUCUCGCCUGCUCCCAUUUUGUUGAUCCUGAUGUUGUUGUUAUCAUGUUGCGUGCACAAAACUAAGUCAUAAAGACAAAAAAGUGUAAGAAAAAUGGCAACGAAGAUCACGUGGAACUUCAUCGUCUUCAUUCACUAUUCUCACUCUGAAACAAGGAAUCGCUUGUUAUUUUGGCUUUGUGAUUUGAAUGUUAGUUUUUAUUUGUUGUGUUUUCUAGUUCUUUUUGUUUGGGAUGUUGGUUUGGUUUCUUAAUUGGAAGUACCUGUAAAUUUGUUAAUAUGUUGUUAAACAAGGAAAUCCAGCCCACAAACAAAUCUACAAUCAAUAUAACAAAACUAACUACCACCAAAAAUUACUACAUAAUCCUAAUAAGAACUAAUUAAACAGGUUUUUUUUAUGUUCCUAAUUGUCAUUUUGUGGUGAUAAUUACUGUAUUAAUAUUUAUAAUUAUUAUUUUUAUUUUUAUUAUUUUUAAGAGAUUAAUUGUUAUACAUUGUCUGUCAGUGUAAAAAAAUUUACACGGUCAAUACAUCACAAUCAUCCUUUUGUGUUAUUUUAUAUGUGAUGAUAAUAAAAGUCAAACUUCUCUAAUUAAUCAAUGAUUCUAAUCAACAGAGAAUGUAAAAUACUUUACACGGUCAGUAUAUUUCAAUUAAAUUCUAUUUUUAAUACCUAAUUAUUAGAAGUUUUUUUUUAAAUAAUCAUUUUUUUUUAAAAUUCAAAAAUAUCCAUAAUUUAAAAAAAUUUACAAAAAUGGGCAAUUUUUGUCCUAAUUUACACAUUGGCGCCACCAUAGAUGGCGCUUACCCUUAAAAGAAGGGCAAGUCGCCACUAGGAGUGGCGCCUACUCCUAUUUUCUUUUAUUUUUUAUUUUUUUUUUAAUUUUUUAUUUAAUUUUUUUUAAUAUGUUUUUAAUUAUUUUUUUAAUUUUUUUUAAAUCUUUUUUAACUUAUUUUAAAUUUAUUAUUUUAUAUUUAUUAUAAAUUAUAUUAAUUUAUAUUAAUACAUAUAUAUAAAUAAUAUUAUUUACGAGAUAUAUAUAUAUAUAUAUAUAUAUAUAUUAAUUUAUUUAUAUUAAUUUAAUUUAUAACUAAAUAAUAUUAUUUAUAAAUUAUUAAAAUAUAUUAAUUUAUAUACAUGUAAAUAAAUAAUAUUAUGUAUAUAUUUGUAAAAUACACAAGAUAUAUAUAUAUAUAUAUAUAAAUAUAUAUNNNNNNNNNNNNNNNNNNNNNNNNNNNNNNNNNNNNNNNNNNNNNNNNNNNNNNNNNNNNNNNNNNNNNNNNNNNNNNNNNNNNNNNNNNNNNNNNNNNNNNNNNNNNNNNNNNNNNNNNNNNNNNNNNNNNNNNNNNNNNNNNNNNNNNNNNNNNNNNNNNNNNNNNNNNNNNNNNNNNNNNNNNNNNNNNNNNNNNNNNNNNNNNNNNNNNNNNNNNNNNNNNNNNNNNNNNNNNNNNNNNNNNNNNNNNNNNNNNNNNNNNNNNNNNNNNNNNNNNNNNNNNNNNNNNNNNNNNNNNNNNNNNNNNNNNNNNNNNNNNNNNNNNNNNNNNNNNNNNNNNNNNNNNNNNNNNNNNNNNNNNNNNNNNNNNNNNNNNNNNNNNNNNNNNNNNNNNNNNNNNNNNNNNNNNNNNNNNNNNNNNNNNNNNNNNNNNNNNNNNNNNNNNNNNNNNNNNNNNNNNNNNNNNNNNNNNNNNNNNNNNNNNNNNNNNNNNNNNNNNNNNNNNNNNNNNNNNNNNNNNNNNNNNNNNNNNNNNNNNNNNNNNNNNNNNNNNNNNNNNNNNNNNNGUUGCAAUGAACCUAAACAAAAAAAGAUAAAUAAUAUUAUUUACAAAUAUUUAUAGAAUAAAUAUACAAAAUGAAAUAACAUCAUAAAUUUACCUAGUUGCGUAGGGGAAGGAGUAGACGUUAGGAUUUUCGGGGGCUAGCCUCGGCAAUCUCCACCACCCCCAUGUUUGGAGCAAAAAAGCACAUCCAGAAAAUGUACAGUGGUCAUUUUGUGCAUUUUUACACAAAGAGCUAUAUAGGAAAGCCAAUACAACAGAACCCCAACUAUACGUGCUUAUUCUAUCUAUGUCCUCGAGCAAACUCAAGUACAUAAAGUUUAUGCUAUUUCCCGUGCCUUCGGGAAAUAGCAAGUUCCCAAAUAAUAACAUAAUAUAAAACCUUGUUUUUAUUAUUUUUUCUUGUUCAGACGAAUCCUCAGUCAAAAUUAUAGCGUCGUGGUAGAAUUGGAGGCUCGAUAGUUUAAUACCCUGGCCCCUUGCUUUCGCAGAUCCCUCACCCUCGACUAGAUCUACGCCCAACAUUUGAAGACAUAGUUCGUUGGGCUGUUGAACAUUUCCAGUCACAGGCUUACCAUCUAUUCGAAGACCCAAAAGCAUGUACACGUCCUCUAGUGUGACGAUACAUUCACCAGUUGGUAGGUGAAAAGUGUGUGUCUCUGGUCUCCAACGUUCACACAAAAUAAGAAUAAAUUUCACAUUAAUUGUGGCAUUUACCACAUGCAUAACAUGACCGAACCCCGCACACUCUAUGUAAGGUACGCACCAUGGGUCUGGAUAAGCCAUAGGGUGUGAACGUUGACGAAAUUUCUUGGGAUCCUUUAAAAACAAACAAUAUAAACAAUCAUUAGUAACCUCAAAAUUUUUUAUUUAUAUAAACAUACGAAAGAGGCAAUGUUCAAGAAAAACUUACGAAUGAGGCAAUGUUCGCCCUAGUGCCUUUGUGUUCUUGGCCCAUGGUAAGAAGAGACAUGAUUGUAAUGUAGAACGUAGGUUUGUUGAUGAAAAGUUCGUCGGUGUUCUCUGAAAAAAAGUGUUAGUGGAUGAUGAAAAUUAUCAAGAAUGACCUGCUAUUUAUAACCGUAUUCAAAUAGUAUGAAUAUGUAUAAAAAAUUGGACACGUGUAACGCAUGCAAAAAUUUGACACGUGUAACGCAUGCAAAGUUGGCUGAGAAUCUUGCAGGCUAGGUGGAGCUGCAUCCAUGUCUUCACAUAAGACACGUCUACUGCAUGCAUCAGUAGGUCAGGAUAAGACAUGAACUCGCCACUCUAGGUGGCGAAUACAUUGAAGUCUUAUCUUGUCUGAGAAUCUUGCAGGCUAGGUGGAGCUGCAUGCAUGUAAUAAUUUUGACACGUCUACUGCAUGCAUCAGUAGGUCAGGAUAAGACAUGAACUCGCCACUCUAGGUGGCGAAUACAUUGAAAUAAAUAAUAUUAUUUAUAAAUUAUUAAAAUAUAUUAAUUUAUAUACAUGUAAAUAAAUAAUAUUAUGUAUAUAUUUGUAAAAUACACAAGAUAUAUAUAUAUAUAUAUAUAAAUAUAUAUUAAUUUAGAUAUAUUAAUUUAUAUUAAUAAACAUAAUAUAUUUAUAUUAAAAUAAUACACAAGAUAAAUAUUAUAAAGUUUAAUUAAAAUGAAUUAUUAAUUUGGGAUUUUUUACAUAUCAUGCGGUCCCUGGUACGAUCCGCACGGGGGAGGUCUAACUACUCGUCUAGACGACUCACGUGGUGGUGGUGCUUCUCUAUUCCCACCCCUAGUCGUAACGCGUCCCGUUGCCCUUUGCCGUUGUGGUUGGGUCGAAGUCCCUUCAAUGCUCUAGGAAAGGCGGGUGCCCUCUGCGCCCUCAAAGCUUUGUCUCGGUGGGACUAACUGACUCCUGUUGGGUGCGCCCUCGAAAUGUGGCCUUUGGUAGUUGAGGGUUGAAUCGGGUUGGCUAAAGAACAAUGUCUGUGUGGUGUGUAGUAGUCUUGUUGGUAAUCCUCUUGUAUACCUGUGUCGGGCUAAGUGGAGGACUGGAAGAGCCCGGGACAUCGUCGUGAUGGAAGUGUUGGGAUUGGUGUUGGUGGGGGGAUUGAGUUUGUGGUAGGUGUUGGGAUUGUUGAUGGUGGUGGGAAUGUUGAGGUUGGUGUUGGUAAUCUUCAUGAUAUUGGGGUUGAGUUUGUGGUAUGUAGUGUUGAUUUGGUUGGGGGGUGGACAUGUGUUGUGGUGGUUGUUGUUGGUAAUACGGUGGUGGUGAUUGUUGUUGGUAAUAUGGUGGUGGUUGUUGUUGUUGGUAAUAUUGUGGUGAUUGUUGUUGUUGGGAAUAUUGUGGUGGUUGUUGUUGUUGGAAAUAUGGUUGUUGCAUUCGGGGAUCGUCCAAAUAGAACGGGUCAGACACAAUCAUUUCUGGAUUUGUAUUUGCUCUAUACCAAUCCACAUAUUCCCUUGUCGGCUUCAUUUCGUUGGGCGCCAUCGGAAAUUGUAGAACAUAGUGGGCACGCUCUUUCCACAUUUUACGGAACUCCUUUGCAAAUGCCUUCCAAUUUUGGACAUACCACUGAUGACUGACUUUUUUAAGAUGCCAAGGUUCCAAAGACAUUGGGGGGCCUGGGAUUUCUUGAUGCAUUCCGAAUUGCAGUUUGACACGGUCACUUUGGUGCAUCUCCACAGUGGUGAACCGCAUGAUAGCCGUUUUUGCUGUCCAAACAGCUGCAUCUUCGGGGUUGGGUUGAUGUUCCAAUCCCAAAUAUGGUCUCCAAAUAAACUGCAAAGAAAAAAAUAAAUAUGUUAUUUAUUGAGAAUGCUUGAUAUUAAUAAAUUAGUUAGAAGAUGAAUGAUUUAGUGGUAAUACAUCUUGUGCUCGGAGACGAUCCAAGAGUUGACGAUAAAAUAUUAUUUUAUUUUUCGGGGUAAGACUGUAAUCUAGUCCAGUUGCAAUGAACCUAAACAAAAAAAGAUAAAUAAUAUUAUUUACAAAUAUUUAUAGAAUAAAUAUACAAAAUGAAAUAACAUCAUAAAUUUACCUAGUUGCGUAGGGGAAGGAGUAGACGUUAGGAUUUUCGGGGGCUAGCCUCGGCAAUCUCCACCACCCCCAUGUUUGGAGCAAAAAAGCACAUCCAGAAAAUGUACAGUGGUCAUUUUGUGCAUUUUUACACAAAGAGCUAUAUAGGAAAGCCAAUACAGCAGAACCCCAACUAUACGUGCUUAUUCUAUCUAUGUCCUCGAGCAAACUCAAGUACAUAAAGUUUAUGCUAUUUCCCGUGCCUUCGGGAAAUAGCAAGUUCCCAAAUAAUAACAUAAUGUAAAACCUUGUUUUUAUUAUUUUUUCUUGUUCGGACGAAUCCUCAGUCAAAAUUAUAGCGUCGUGGUAGAAUUGGAGGCUCGAUAGUUUAAUACCCUGGCCCCUUGCUUUCGCAGAUCCCUCACCCUCGACUAGAUCUACGCCCAACAUUUGAACACAUAGUUCGUUGGGCUGUUGAACAUUUCCAGUCACAGGCUUACCAUCUAUUCGAAGACCCAAAAGCAUGUACACGUCCUCUAGUGUGACGGUACAUUCACCAGUUGGUAGGUGAAAAGUGUGUGUCUCUGGUCUCCAACGUUCACACAAAGCAAGAAUAAAUUUCACAUCAAUUGUGGCAUUUACCACAUGCAUAACAUGACCGAACCCCGCACGCUCUAUGUAAGGUACGCACCAUGGGUCUGGAUAAGCCAUAGGGUGUGAACGUUGACGAAAUUUCUUGGGAUCCUUUAAAAACAAACAAUAUAAACAAUCAUUAGAUUGGAGUUUUAAAAAAUAAAUUAUAAACAUACGAAAGAGGCAAUGUUCAAGAAAAACUUACGAAUGAGGCAAUGUUCGCCCUAGUGCCUCUGUGUUCUUGGCCCAUGGUAAGAAGAGACAUGAUUGCAAUGUAGAACGUAGGUUUGUUGAUGAAAAGUUCGCCGGUGUUCUCUGAAAAAAAGUGUUAGUGGAUGAUGAAAAUUUUCAAGAAUGACCUGCUAUUUAUAACCGUAUUCAAAUAGUAUGAAUAUGUAAAAAAAUUGGACACGUGUAACGCAUGCAAAAAUUUGACACGUGUAACGCAUGCAAAGUUGGCUGAGAAUCUUGCAGGCUAGGUGGAGCUGGAUAGGCAUGCGUGAGAAUCUUGCAGGCUAGGUGGAUAUGACUUUGAUGGAUAGGCAUGCGUGAGAAUCUUGCAGGCUAGGUGGAUAGGUUAGCAUGCAUUGGUACAGGUUAGGUUGCACUUGUCUUGUCUAGGGGAAGGCUUGGUGGAUGUGUUGCAUGCAAAAAUGUGACACGUCUAACGCAUGCAUCACAAUUGAAUCCGUGUAUCUAGGCAUGCGUGAGAAUCUUGCAGGCUAGGUGGAUAUGACUUUGAUGGAUAGGCAUGCGUGAGAAUCUUGCAGGCUAGGUGGAUAGGUUAGCAUGCAUUGGUACAGGUUAGGUUGCACUUGUCUUGUCUAGGGGAAGGCUUGGUGGAUGUGUGAGUAUAAGUAUUCACACAAAUUUUCACAAAGGUAUUCACAAAAUCUUCACAAUAUCUUCACAUAUAUCUUCACAAUAUCUUCACAAUAUCUUCACAAAAUCUUCACAAUAUCUUCACAAAAUCUUCACAAUAUCUUCACAUAUUUCACCAAUAUCUUCACAUAUCAUGGCAUCUUCAUCACAAUACAAAAUCAAAGCUCACGUGAAUGGUGAGACUUAUGAAUGUGAUAUGUCUGACUUCCUAUUUAGAAACACCGAUUGCACUCGUUUUUGUCUAAAUAGAGGAGCUGACUUCUCUUAUCUGAAAAAAAAAAGAUUGCGUCCAAACUUAGACAACCCGUGUCCCAAAUUUUUUAUCAACAACCUUUUUUUUUCUGAAAAUAACUCAGUCAGGUUUUAUAAGUCAUUGAUUCAAAAUGACAUGGAGGCACAAUACAUGUUUCGUAACCAUGAGUAUUCUGGUUACGACUAUAUAGUGUUGUACAUUGUGUUGGAACAAUUUCAACCAACUCAGAAUAUUCAGUCACAGGUUAUUGAUCCUGUGGAUGAUGACGAACAAGAUGUUGAACACCCCAUUGAAGACGAUGUGGUUGAUGAUGCAGAAGACGUGGUUGAUGACUUGGUGAACCGUGAUUCCGAAGACGAAGACCAAGUUCAAAUACCUAUAGCGCAACGCUACUCACCGCCUGCGCACUUCACAACCCUUAACUUGGGCGAGGAUGAGCCCUCAUCAGAUAUGUUCUACAACCCAUAUAUGAGGUCUGAUGAGGAGUUAAAGAAGGGUGACCAAUUUCGGACCAAGGAAGAGUGUCUGUUAGCAAUAAAAAACUGGCACUUGAAAAACUGUGUUGACUACGAUGUUAACAAAUCAAACCCGGAAAGAUACGUUAUUUUAUGCAAGAACCUGGAGUGUGGGUAUAGGUUGAUGGCAUCGUACAAGAAGAAACAUAGUGCGUGGGUGAUAGGGUCCAUUUCUCAAGCUCACACUUGCGUCAACACAAACAUGGCACAGGAUCAUCGCAAACUUAGCCAUGAUAUGAUUUGCCAUUCCAUGAUACCUCUUGUUGAAGUUGACCCGUCACUCAAGGUCAAAACUAUUAUCUCCCAUUGUGUUGCUGUUUUCAAAUAUACACCGUCGUACAGAAAGGCUUGGUUAGGGAAAACCAAAGCAAUUGAACUGGUAUACGGUAAUUGGGAGGAAUCAUACAAACAACUUCCGCGCUAUCUGGCUGCACUACAUUUGUAUUCACCUGGGACGGUUUCUAUAAUGGAGACCUUGCCGGCACAAUCCCCUGACGGAACUCGUCUAGAAGGUAAUGGAAUAUUCCAUAGACUUUUCUGGGCAUUCCGUCCCUGCAUCAUCGGUUUCACAUUCUGCAAGCCGCUUAUUCAAGUCGAUGGAACUUGGCUGUAUGGGAAAUACAAAGGAUCGUUACUGAUGGCGGUCGCACAAGAUGGAAAUUCUAAUAUUUUCCCAAUAGCCUUUGCAUUGGUAGAAGGAGAAACGGCUGCUGCUUGGAGUUUCUUCCUUAAGAAUCUCCGAACGCACGUGACUCCACAAGCUGGCAUCUGUGUGAUUUCUGACAGGCACGCUUCUAUAGACAGUGCAUACAAUAAUCCAGCAAAUGGUUGGCAUGACCCCCCGUCUACGCAUGUCUACUGCAUCAGGCAUAUUGCUCAAAAUUUUAUGCGGGAGUUCAAGGAUAACUUCUUGAAGCAACAUUUAAUAAACGCGGGGUAUGCAUUAAACCAACCUGGAUUCCAAUACUACCGCCGAGAAAUAGUGUUGGCAAAUUCUGAUGCAGGGAGGUGGAUCGAUAAUAUUGACAGAGCAAAGUGGACUAGGUCAUACGACGAUGGGGUGAGGUGGGGCCACAUGACAACAAAUCUUGUGGAAUCAGUGAACGGCGUCUUUAAGGGCAUACGUAACCUCCCGGUAACCGCUUUGGUGAGUGCGACGUAUUUUCGGAUGGCAACGUUGUUCGUAACAAGAGGCAAGCGCUGACAUGCAGUGUUACAGAUGAGUCAAGUGUAUAGUGAUGCCUGCAUGAAGUUUAUGAGGUAGGAAUCUGCCAAAGCCAGCAGCCAUCGGGUUACGGAAUUCGACUGCCAUGACCACACUUUUAGUGUCAAGGAAACAAUUGACCACAACCAGGGGCUGCCCAGACAAGAGUAUAGGGUCCUAAUACCAGUCUGUUGGUGCGACUGUGGUCAAUUUUAGGCCUAUCGUAUGCCUUGUUCCCAUGUCAUUGCAGCGUGUUCACACACCCACUUCGAUGCAUUGUCACUAGUGUCUCCCAUCUAUAAAGUUGCAACAUUGUUAAAUGUAUACGACAAUCCCUUUCCGGUGGUAGCAUUGGAGGCAUAUUGGCCAGAGUAUGACGGGGAAAUUGUUUGGCACAACGAUUCGAUGCGGUGUAAUAAAAGUGGUCGCCCAAACAGCAGGCGCAUUAGAACUGAAAUGGACGUCGCAGAGAAAAUGCAUAGGAAGUGUAGCAUAUGUCGACAACUAGGGCAUAAUAAGAACAAAUGUCCAUAUCGUGGAUCUAGUUCCACAACAUAGUUUUCAUAUUCAUAACUCUGUGUACCAAUGCUAUUUAUCAAUAAAGUUUACUUUUUAUUCCAAAUAGAAGAUGACAUUGGAACAACAAACACAAACAUCUAACAUUAGAACAACAAAUACUAAAACAAAAACAAAUACUGGAACAAGAACAAGUACUAAAACAAGAACAAGUACUAGANNNNNNNNNNNNNNNNNNNNNNNNNNNNNNNNNNNNNNNNNNNNNNNNNNNNNNNNNNNNNNNNNNNNNNNNNNNNNNNNNNNNNNNNNNNNNNNNNNNNNNNNNNNNNNNNNNNNNNNNNNNNNNNNNNNNNNNNNNNNNNNNNNNNNNNNNNNNNNNNNNNNNNNNNNNNNNNNNNNNNNNNNNNNNNNNNNNNNNNNNNNNNNNNNNNNNNNNNNNNNNNNNNNNNNNNNNNNNNNNNNNNNNNNNNNNNNNNNNNNNNNNNNNNNNNNNNNNNNNNNNNNNNNNNNNNNNNNNNNNNNNNNNNNNNNNNNNNNNNNNNNNNNNNNNNNNNNNNNNNNNNNNNUAGAUUUUUCAAUAACCAACAAAUACAAAGAAAAAACAAAAAAAAAAAAAAAAAAAAAAAAAAAAAAAAAAAAAAAAAAAAAAAAACAAACACAACAAAACAACCAAAUAUAAAAUCUAGGGAAAUUACAAACCCAAUUAACACUUCGGUCAUCUGAUCCAUGCAUCAUUUAGGAUGCAAUCAAUGUCGCUUUUAACUUUAACCACCAACAUAACCCAUCCUCCAAGUUUUCAAUAUUUCUUGAGACCUUCUUCCAAGCCUCUGAAAUCUCUUCUAAUUUGACUUCCACCAGGCUGGUAACUCCCUCUAACCAAGACACAUCAAGGACCUUUUAGUUGGCCUCCAAACGAACGGAUGUUCCAAAAUUUCCAUCUCCAUGGGGGUUACAAGCGAGGGAAAAUUAACUGCCCAAUCCCUUUUUUAAGAUUACUGGUUCAGGAUCCGGCCGCCUUGAUUGAUGUUCGCUGCCAUGAUACGGUCUGGGGAGUGCAUGAAACUCAACUUGCAUAUGAGAAGUGAUAGCGAAAAAAUGCGUUGGUUUGAAAAAAAUACAAAGGAAAUAACACUUUAUUUAUAGGAAAAAAUCACUAGUUGUACACCAUGACUUAACCCUAAUUAGCAUGUCCUCGCACUUAUAAUAGUCUUAGAGAGAAUUUAGGGUUUCGAAUUAGGUCAUAACUUACCAAACUCUAAUUAUACCGAUCAAUAAAUCCAUAAUUAUAUUGAUAUUAACCCUAACAUGAAUAACCCCUAAUUUCACCAAAAAAUUUAAAAUAAUAUUAUUUAUUAAUAUAAUAUAAAAUUAUAUAUAUAUAUUAUAUUAUAUAUAAAUAUAUAAUUAUAUAUAUAAUAUAAUAUAUUAUAUUCCUUGUUGUAAAUAAUAUUAUUUAUUUAUAUAUAUAUAUAUAUAUAUGUAUUAAUAUAAAUUAAUAUAAUUUAUAAUAAAUAUAAAUUAAUAAAUUUAAAAUAAGUUAAAAAAGAUUUAUUUUUUUUUUAAAAUAAUUAAAAACAUAUUAAAAAAAAAAGCAAAAUAAAUAAAUAGGAGUAGGCGCCACUCCUAGUGGCGACUUGCCCUCCUUUUAAGGGUAGGCGCCAUCUAGGGUGACGCCCAUGUGUAGUUUAGGGCACAAAAGUGCCCAUUUUUGAAUUUUUUUUUGAAUUUAUGGUUAUUUUUGAUUUUUUUUAAAUUGAUUAUUUAAAAAAAAUCUUCUAAUUAUUAAGUUAAGUGUAUAUUUCAAAAUAAAACCAUAUAUUUUUCUUUCUCUUAUCUAAAAUAAAUAUAGUUCAACUUCUAAUCAUUAUUAUAAGUAAAUUAGACUUUUUCUUUUUUUUAUAUUCGAUAGUUAAUGUAUCUAGAUCAUAUAUAGACUAAAUAUAUUAAUUAUAUAAAAAAAAUCAAAUUUAUUUAUAAUAAUAAUCGUAGACUGUAAUUUCUAAAACAAAGAAAUCUCUAUUUCCAAUACAACUAUUUCAAAUUACAUCUUUUCGCUCUCUUUCUUAAUCAUUUUUGCUCUCUUUCUUAAUCAUUUUCGCUUUCUCAUCCAACAAAUUUGAGCGCUCAAGGUUGUUUUCUCUUCCCUUUCUCCUAAUUUUUACAUUGCUCAACUCAACUUGCAAUGUCAUUUUACUUUACAAUUUCAAUCUCCCCAAUUUCAUUCUCAAUUUUUCACCUUACUAUUGUGUUUUCGUAUCAUAACUCUAUGUAUCGAUUGUAAUGUAACAUAAAAAGGUAAGACAAAAUGUGAACCGUAACCAUUCUACCAUCAUUUACGUUUUGCUUUUAUCCAUUAGUGAAGAUGUGUGACAUUAUCAAAGUUUCAAUUUCAAAACUAAAAAUGUAUGAUAAUUAAUUUAUUCAUCUAUGUAUAACUUUUAUUUUUUCAAAAUUGCAAAUGGAUUUAGAUUUUAUGUAUUAAAAAAUACACAAAUUUAUUUUCGAUUAUGUGACUAUCGAAUCUGUGUUACAUUCGGUUUCAGUUUCGAUUUGCAAAUUAAUAAGUAAAUUUAUUGUUUUAUGUUAUUACUAAUCAUUUUGUAUUUUGAAAAUCAACUGCUUCGUUUAUGUAACUUUCUGAAUCUGUAUUGUUUUUGGUUUUCUGAUUUGCAUAUCAAUAGGUAAAUUUAUUGUUUUAUGUUAUUAUGAAUUGUUGCAUAUCAAUUUGAAUCAAUUUGAAAAUCAACCGUAUGCGGAUCUACUUUCGAAGGAGGCGUUGCUAACUUAGAAAGAGUUCUAGAAAGGUGCGUAAAGGUCAACCUAGGACUAAAUUGGGAAAAAGCCACUUCAUGGUGAAAGAAGGCAUAGUCUUAGGACACAUAGUGUCCAAAAGAGGAAUUGAGGUUAAUAGAGCUAAGAUAUAAAUCAUAGAGAACCUACAUUCACCUAAAAUGGUUAGAGAGGUCAUAUGUUUUAUUGGACACGCCGGUUUCUACCUACUAGGAGCCAAAAUAAUCAUCUAGACAAACCACACUGUUAUAAGAUAUUUACUAAGCAAAAAAGAUGCAAAACCAAGAUUACUUCGGUGGAUCCUAUUGUUACAGGAAUUCCAUUUGGAAACUCGAGACAAGAAAGGAACCGAAAACAUAGCAGCUGACAACUUAUCAAGGCUAGAGGAUCUAAAACCAGACCAUGUACCUAUAAAUGAUGAUUUUACUUAUGACAGACUGGUUGCGUCAAUUGACAUCGAAGGAAUGAGUUAUGAUCACUACCAUGAAUAUAUUAAAGCACAAUACACAAACGUUGAGAACGUGAUAGAAGAGGAAGCUUCCUUAGUGCACAAGACUGUACUCUGGUAUGCUGACUAUGUAAAUUACCUUGUAGACAAAGUUCUACCUCCUGAUAUGACCUACCAACAUAAGAAGAGAUUCUUCCAUGACCUAAUUUUUUUUAUUGGGACAAACCACUCCUUUUCAAAAGAGGAGUCAGUGGCCUUUUCCGUCGUUGCGUUUCUGAGGAGGAAAUCGCAAGCAUUAUAAACCAUUAUCAAUCCUCUCAUUAUAGAGGACAUGCAAGCACGUCGAAGACAUGCACUAAGAUUCUUCAAGUUGGGCUUUAUUAGCCCAUCAUAUGGCACGAAGUCCAUGAAUGGUCGUGAACUGUGACGAUUGCCAACGCACCGGAAACAUUUCCAGACAAGACGAAAUGCCCUUAAACAAUAUAUUAGAAGUUGAGAUUUUUUAUGUGUGGGGUAUAGAUUUCAUGGGUCCGUUCCCAUCUUCAAUGGGAAAUAAAUAUAUACUUGUAGUGGUUGAUUAUGUAUCCAAGUGGAUAAAGACCAUCGCCUCUCCAACAAACGAUGCACGAGUAGUUAUCAAAAUGUUUAAAAACAACAUUCCCCCCUAGAUUUUGAGUUCUUAGGUUGGUAAUAAUGAUAGAGGAUCGCCUUUUAUCUCUAAGAUAUUCGAGAAGCUCCUACACAAGUAUGUGGUAAGACAUCGAGUAGCCACACCUUACCAUCCACAGACAAGUGGACAAGUAGAGGUUUCCAACAGAGAGAUCAAACUAACUCUAGAAAAGAUUGUUACAACCUCUAGAAAGGAUUGGUCAGCUAAACUAAAUGAAGCACUGUAGGCAUAUAGGACAACCUAUAAGAUGCCCAUAGGGAUUACACCUUUUAAGCUUUUGUAUGGAAAGUUAUGUCACCUACCGAUCGAGCUGGAACAUAAAGCAUAUUGGGUCGUAAAGACCCUAAACAUGGAUUACAAAGUCUCAGUGGAAAAAGGAUAGUAGAUAUCCAUGAACUAGAAGAACUUAGGUUAGACGCCUAUGAAAGUGCCAUAUAUAUAUAAUAUAUAUAUAUUAUAUAUUAUAUAUAUAUAUAUAUAUAUAUAAUAUAUAAUAUAUAUAUAUAUAUAUAUAUAUAUAUAUAUACUAAUAUAUAUAUAUAUAUAUAUUAUAUUAUAUAAGACGAGAAUUAAAGCUGGCACGAUAAGCGCAUCACUAAGCGAGAUUUCUCAAUAGGAGAGUUAGUACUCCUUUUCAACUCCAGAUUAAGGUUAUUUCCAGGAAAAUUAAGUCCCUGGUGGUUCGGACCGUUCGAGGUAGUAAAAGUUAUGCAAUCUGGAGUAGUCGAAAUAUGGAGUAAGUCAAUAUGACUGUUUAUAGUCAAUGGGCAGAAGCUAAAGCGUUAUAGCAGUGAUGAAGAAAUAGAUCACCAUACAAGUUAGAAAUCGAAUGAGCCUCCUACUAGUUCACCUGAAGGGCAAGCUUAUAUGAACGUCGAGCUAACGACGUAAAAUAAGAGCGUCGCGUGGGAGGCAACCCACUGAUUUCUUUUCAUUUAUCCGUAUCCAAAAUAAAUAAACGAAGAAAAUUAAACCUUGUUGAUUAUUCACUAACUUUGUUUAUGUUUCUUGCUUUUCAGGCCACCUACAUUGUCCUUAAAAACAAUAUUUCCUCUAACACUUUAUUUGAGAAUGCACCACGGGGAUAACAUGAGGAUCGUUUUCAAGAACGAUGCCCAUAGAAGGCACUAUGAAGUCUUAGCCAAAAGAAUCAUCUCACCAACCCGAUACCCAGACUUCCUGUGCCUAGUAACCUUAAGACUCAGAGAUAGUGUAAGGUACAUGUUUAAUCAGAUCAGUUGGGAUCGAUUCUCAGUUGCAUAACAUCCAACUUACCAGAACCUUACAUUUGAGUUCCUAAGUUAUUUUUGUUACCAAGACUAGUACAAAACAGAGGCUUAGCUACCUUUAGGAUUUUUGGAGAUGACUAUCGACUCAACCAUCGAGAGUUAGAUGUGCUUUUAGGUUUCCAGCAUGGACCUCAUGUUUUUACUAAGGUACCUGAUGAUAUGCAAGUUGAACUAGACUUUUUAUGGGGGAGUAUCACAGAAGAUUUUCCACCCGAUUAUGAGAGAAUGAACUUCCCCCUCAUCCAUAACCCAUCCAUUAGGUACUUUUAGAUGGUUGUAUCUUAGACAUUCUUUGGAAAGGCAGAAAAUGCUUGACCUAUUAGUAAAGAAGAAGCGUACUUCAUGUUCAUUGUUUUUCAAUCUCAUCCCAUAAAUUCUGCAGCUUUCUUACUAGCAGGCUUAGAUAAAGUUGGUAACUCCAUAAUAUGAAAUAUUAAUGUAGGAGGAACCGUCACCCACAUAGCUUUAGCCUUAGGCCUACGCAACAAAGUAUCUCACCUAACUCUAAUAUAUGGAUAUAUCCUGCUAGAUCUAGACCACUGUCUAAAUACAAGCCUAGUGAGGCGAGAGGGACCUAAUGAGUUCAAGAUACUAAUUAUGAGUGAAGUUGUUCACCAUUUCACCCUUCCAAAUCCUGAAAAGACAAACGUUCAUAAUCGUGAAAACUGGCAAUAUCAAUUAGAAGAUCAGAGAGAGACGCCAACACCACUUGAGAUUCCUCCCUUGACUAAACCUCACCUUGUUCCUCCUUCAGAUGUUUCUUCAUCAUUUUCGUCAGCAGGUUCUCUAGAUAGGAGGAAUGUUGACUAUCAGCUCAACACCCUUAGGCGAGAAGUCAUAGCUCUGCGUCGUACGAUUCAAGACCAAACUGAUAGAGCAGUCGAGCAAAUGGACCACUUGUUCCAAGAAUUUCAUUCCCUACGGAGAGCAUUGGGCCAACAAGAAAAACACUAUGAGACGUGAUUUAUCCAUGGGUUUACUCUUUCCUUCAUCCCAUUUUAGACGAAAACAUUGAGGCCAAUGUUGAGUUUAAGUGUGGGGGAGGAAAUAUUUUCCCAUUUUUCAUUAAUUUUUCACUUUUUCUUUAAUUUUUCAAUUUGUCAUCAUUAUUUAAUAGUUAUUUAAUCGUAGUUCCCAUUUCAGUUGUUCCCAUUUCAGUUGUUGAGUUAUCGACGUUAAACAAAGCACUGUGUGGGAGGCAACCCACAAAUUUUUUAUCUUUAUGCAUUUCAAUUAAUUUUUUUGCUUUCUAAUUUUGCUUUUUCAAUUUUUUUCAAAAAUUUCUACACCACUAACCAUGGCGCAGGCCCAAAAAGAAUCAAGAAGCCCAAAAGAGCACAAAAAAUGCUACAUCAAGGUCCAUAGCAUUCGCCACCACAGUAAAAAAUUGAAAAAUCAAAAUCCCAGAAGCAUGGCGUUCGCCACAUAUAGCAAGGCGUCCGCCACGAACCCCAGACACGAAAAAAAAUUCAAUUUUAACCCUCUUUUUGUCUUUCCAACUGAUGUUCCUUCCACUUCAUCCACCCCCAUUUAUUCUUCCAUAUUUCCAAAACUUCUGAAUGUUUAUUCACUCUUCCAACUUCCACCCUCCCACUCCUAUUUAAACUAAACUUCGUCAUUCUCAUUUAUACCAUAUUCUUAUUCCUAUAAAUCGUCAUCCACACCAACCUCUUACACUUUAUUUUCGAGUUCUUAUCAAUAGCACAAGAAGGUAAUGUUGAUUUUAACAAAGUUAUAUUUCAGGAAGGAAAAGAUGGCGAGAGGCAACAGAAGAAGUAUGAAGCUCUGCUGAACUGGGGAAAUUAUCCCGACAAGGUAUGUUGAUGAUUCCUGUUUACGUAGCCCAAGACUGUUUGACAGGGUUCAUUGGAUGAUAAAUGUGUUAAGCUUGUCACACUUUUAUGCAUGUAGAGAUGCUACUUAUGCUAGAUUAACUGUAGAAUUUCUUAGCUCUCUGAUAUAUGCCAUACAGCCCGACACUGCUAGCACUGUCAGAACUAUUAGGUUCCGAAUGUUUAAUAAGGAGUAUGCAUAUAGUACUUACCAAAUUGCUGAGAUGAUGAAUUUUCCUUAUGGAGAAGGUGUUAUUUUUGAAACACCAUUAGAAACCAAUUAGGUGCAUAUUGUGGGGGAGUUCUGGAAAUAAUUGACAGGGUAUGCUACUGAUAGUCUUAAGGGUAAUAUAGCAUCUCAAAUAGAUAACCCGACCAUACGAUAUUUUCUCCAAAUAUUGGCAAACACCAUUUUUGGUCGGGAUAACACAAAUAAAGCGAAUGCUAAAGAGUUGUUUUUUUGUCAUGUUGUUUUUGCACCGACGCGGGUUAACUCAGACCCGUUCAUGAUAACCCAUAUGAAUAUGGUUCGCACCGUAAGGGCGGAUCCGAUUUCCUUGGAGGCUUGAUUACCUCCAUCGCUUAUGCUAUGGGUCUUCAUAUUGAGCUUGCUACCCUAGAGCCCUUACCAUCCCGUUCCCUUGACCUCUGCGCUUGUAGGCACAUGCGCUUGAUUAGAGCUAGGCUAGAUGGUAUAUAUUUAUUAAUGGUUCAUAACAUUUUUUUUAUGGUGUUAUUUUACCUUGCCUCAACCGUGCCGAUGUGCGGAAUAGGGUAAAUUAGAUUUACGAUUUGCAUGGUGAGGCCAAAUCAGAGUCCAUGGACAUUCCUGAGAAUCUCACUAUUGAUGGUGCUACCGACGAUGAGUUUGAUCAGAGAGAGCAAGCAUCUCCUAUGCCUGAGCCUCCACCAUAUCAUUCACCCUAUAUUCCUGCUUCACCUUCACACACCACACACUUUACUGGCCAUUUUGCAGGUACUUCUUUCGGAGCUACACAUGUUUCGCUUGAUGUUAUACUCAAUGAGAUACGUGCCUGGAGCGUUAUGGAUGCUGAGAGGGAUAACAUGAUUCAUUACAUGCAUCAAUAAGAAACAUAGAUGAUGCAAUAUAUGCAUCAAAUACAACAUUCAUCCGGUCAGCAAUCUCUACAAGAGUAUAAUUAUGUUGUUAUCCAGACGACCCUUAAUAGUGCUCUCUAGGAGCUCCACCGCCAGAAUGAUAUAGAUACAGAGCGUGACACCAUGUUCUGAGCUAUGCAACAACAACUUGACAUGAUGACACACAUUUAGCUGAUACAAGACCAACAACAUGACUAUGCAGUACUGCUCGAGCAUAAUAGAGAGGAUCUGCUCGAAUAAAUGACAAUAUUACAAGUAGGGGUAGAUGAUAUGUUAUAGUAUAUGCACAUCAUAUGAGUGACAUCUCCUCAUCAUCAAGGUUGUAGAAGACAUGGUUGGAACCAAGGCCAUGGCCGAUGCUGCGCUCUUCAUCUAGGUUAUUUCUUCCUUUUCCCACUUUUAUCAAAAUAUUGAGGACAAUGUUUGGUUUAAGUGUUCGGGAGAAACUUUGUUGUUUUCUUUCCGUUUUAUUACUUUUUAGUUAGAUUUAUUGAUUUUCUAGUUUAUCUCAUGCUUAUUAGGAUUUUAAUUUAAUUGUUGUUAGUCGAGUCAAUGCACGUGUUGUCGAGUCAUUUAUGUGUGAUUUCUUGCUGUUUGUUUAUUCUCCCAUUUUCUUGAGUCAUACCAAAGAAAAUUUGACUUUGAAAUUCAUUGCAAUAUUAAAAAGUAUUAAGCUAUAUAUGAAAUUGAGUUUAUAUCAUAGAGACUUAGGAAAAUCAUACAAAAUGGUAUCAUUUUAACACCUUAAGUCCCACGAAUAUGGAAGCUGAUUUGAGUACUUAUUAUGUCAUAGCCUUGAAAUCUCAUCCUUUAAUAGUCCUUAAGUAGUUUAUUUAGCAGUCAACACCAUCCUAAGCAUACACUACGCAAGAAGUCGAGCAAAUAAGUGAAUAAUCUUAGGCUUAAAAGAAAAAAUGAAUAAAAAGGAGUGUUCCUUCUAAGUUAGGUGACCUUCACCCGGUCACUUAACCUAAUGCUACAAAUCUCUUUACUUGUUAAUAUUUGAGCCAAAGUGCAAAAUAAAAAAAUAAAAUAAAGAUAAGAUCAUAUUCACUAACAGAUUAUCUUGCUAUGAGUGUGAAAUGAUAAUGAGCUUAAUAUGAUUGCACUAGAAUGAAAGAAGACGAAAAAGAGGAUGAGUAAGUUAGGCUUGAGCAUAAUAAUAUGUUUCAAAUUGGUUUGAAUAAGAGGAAUACUUAUGACCGCACAAUUGUGAAUUUGUGUUAUUAGGAAAUCCUUAGUGUGCAAGUUAGUACCUAUAGAUAUAAUCUUAACCGAAAUAGAGUUCAUGGGCCCGUAUGAGUAUUUGAGUGCCAUUGUUUUUCAUGAGUCUUACAUUAGAUGUUGCAUUUUUUUGAAGUUUUUUUCAUAUGCUAGCAGUUUGCUUGUGGACAAGCAAAGGUUUAAGUAUGAGGGAGUUUGAUAACCAUGAAACUUAUAGCAUUUCCCGACUCGAUACACAUGCAUUUUUAUCCGUUUUAUAUCCAUUUUAUGUUUGUAUGUGGUGUUAUGUUGGUAUUUUGUUUAUGUUGCAUAUAUUCUCCAAGUAGGAGUUAACACAAGAGAAAAUGAAGCAAAAUUGGUCAAAAGUGGAGAAAAGGACACAUCAACAUGAAGAAAGUAAAAAAAGAUGUUUUUAGCUUGUGACGUUCGCCACAGGGGAAUGGUGCUCUCCAUGGCCCCCUUUCCAACCACGUUCCCCAUUUUGAACUCAUGGAAUUUGCCAUGAAGUUAUGGCGCUCGCCAUGACCUUCGUGCUCAGAAUUUCAACAACAAAAAUUGCCCAGUCUUCUCCCACUCCCAUGUAUUUUUCUCAACCGAACUCUGCACGAUUUCAACCCACAUUCAACAUAUGGAACACUAUAUAUAGGCUUAGCUUUUAGGGUUUUACCAUCCGAAUUUUCUAGUAUUAAGUAGGCAGUUAAAAUCACUCUGUAAAAGUACUUAAUUGUUCACAUCGGGCAAUAAGUAAACCAUAGCUUUGAGAAUUCUAAAGUUUCCUGCUUGUACUUGGAUCAUUCGUACUUUAAGCUUGCCGUUCUUUCAAUUCCACAAGUUUUCUUUCAAGUUGUCCGGUUUAAAAUUCCCGAAAUGCAUUUUAUUUCCGUAAGCAUUUUCCCUUUUUUAAAUUUCUGCACUUAUUUACUUUAAGUCUUAGUAUUAUUAUUAUUGCUCUUAAUUGGUUAAUCCAUUUCAAUUGUUACUUUUUUUAAUUUUGAAUCUCUUAUAUCAUCAACAUCUACUAGUAUGUAUAUAUAUAUAUAUAUUAUAUAUAUAUAUAUAAUAAUAUAUAUAAUAUAUAUAUAUUAUAUAAUAUAUAUAUAUAUAUUAUAUUAUAAUAUAUAUAUAUAUAUAUAUAUAUAUUAAUAUAUAUAUAUAUAAUAAUAUAUAUAUAUAUAUAUAUAUAUAUAUAUAUAUUGCAUGCUAGUUGUUGUUACUACUUUAUAUCAUCAUAAUCAAUAUGUUUAAGUUUCUAUCUUGCAUGCAUGAAGAUUAUAACAUGAAUAUUAUGUCAAAUAUGUCCGGCUAGACCGUUUAGAGUCGGGAAUGUGAGGACCGUCGUUUUGAUGGUACUCACAUCUGAGUUGGAAAAUAUAAACUAAAUUGGGAUUCGUUUUUGUGAUUGUUAUUUAUACUAUUUAAAUUGGAAUUAUUUACCGCGUAAGCGUUAGAAUUAGAGAUAUUGGUUCCGUUUCUAAAGAGAGGAAUCUGUGUCUUAGGUGAAAAAUAUAAAAAUUAUAUUUUAAUUAAAUCAAAAGCAACAAUAAAGGUUAUUUUAAAUUGCAAAAUCAAUCAUUUUCAAAAAUAUAAUUUAUAGGAAUAGAUGUGUUGCAACAACAGACAUCGGUAAGUUUGAACCGUGGUGCUAUGCGAGCGACAACUGGUAUCAUCUUUAAAUAUGUUUUUCCACCUGAAAGCGACUUUUUUAAUAAAUUAGAAGUUCUUAAUUUUCAGAAAUACAAGCUUUAUACUUUAACAGGAUGAACCGCGACAACGACAAUGUAGAAUUUAGAAUAAAACUAGGUUCCGAUUUAGUGAAUACAAACGAUUCAUUUAAAUAAAGUUUCUUCCUAUUAAAGAAAAAUACAAUCCCAAUUCAAUUAAUAAAUUCGACAUAGGUGUGAGUACUAUUGAUUGACACAAGUCAUAUACCGGUCUCGCUUUUAAUUGCUUUUAUAAGCAAACUUAUUUUAUUUUCCGUUUUAAUUCCUCUUCUCAUCCAAAAUCCGAUCAAUCUUAAAUUUACAUAGCGACAGUAGAUAACUGUUAAGUUGACUAUAGUUUCCAUGUGGAUUCGACAAUCUUUUAUACUCCGAUACAUUCCGUGCACUUGCAGAAAGCAUCUAAGAGAAGGAAAACAAGAAGAAGCACAUCAUAUACCUUCCAGUAUUUUGUUUUCCUUUUCUAUUUUUUAUUUUUGUCCAAAUAUUUUUAUAUAUUAAUAUUACUUUUCAUGUUACUCCGACCCAUACGAACGUACGGGUAUAUUACUAGUUAUUUAUAAAAAAAAAUUUAGAAUUUUACACCGUAAGUUAAUCAUAGAUGUUGAAUAUUGUGAAAAGUUUAACUUUUAUUUUAACCAUCUAUAAAGCAAUACAAGCCGAUGAAAAUGAUGAAUUGGCGGUGUAAGUUUUUGCGUUGAUAGUGCAUAGUAAUUAAUCUAAAAAAAAUUAUGGUGGAUGCAGUUGGAAGUAAUUAUAAUUGUUUUUGAAAAAAUAUAAAAAAUAAUUUAAAUAAUUCAAUUGAAAUCUAUUUAUUUUUAAACUUUUGUGUUUGGAUAGAGAAUUAAGUUUAUUCAUUUGUAAAUUUUUUGGACCAUUUUUAUUAAAUUUUAAAAAAUUUGGUCAAAUUUAAAAUUAAAUAAAUGAAUAUAAACUAAUUUGUAAUUUUUCAAAGUUUUAAAGGAAUUGUAGUGGCAAUAUAUAUAUGAGAGAAAUAAUAUGCUAACGUGGGCAUUGCGAGAGAAAAUCUGUGUAUUUCUCUAUGAGAUUUUUGGAUAUCCUUUUUGCAAUUCUAAGAUUGGGUUAUAUAUAUGACCUUUGGGUUAAGAGAAACAGUUUUUCCACCUUCUUCCGAAAAUAUGAGAGUUAGGGAAGACCAAUUCUUCCCUAAAUUGUGGGAGAGACAAUUUCCCCCUUUAGCGUCACUGAGGGAAGCACAUGCCUGUAAGACCCUAAGUUUGACCAUAAGAUCCCUCAUGCCAUUUCAUUAACUUGACAUUAUCAUUGGGAUCAUACCUUGGUAUCCUCCUCACUCAUUAUUCAUUGGGUUUGCAUUGGGAGAGAUCACCAAGCAUUUGUGAUUGUAUCAUACUUUUUAUUUGUUUACUAACAGAAAUCCAAAAAUAUGUCUAGUGUAGCUUUAUUUCUUUUGUAGGUAGUGUGUGUGUGUGUGUGUCCACCUGUGCCUCAUCAAGCUCACAACUAGUGUAUGAGACCCUCAAAGCAAGGGAUCAAGCAAGAAAUGAUCCAAAUUGAUUCUAAGCAUCAUAUAUGGGUCCUCAUGUUCUUUAUUUCACAUUUUGAUCAAGAUUUCAUCAAGAUUUUGAUGCUUGUUUGUCAAGGAAGCCCUAAUUCAUCUCGGUAUCUUGUGUGCCAUCCUCAGCAAGUUUCUUCAUCAUUUGGUCAAAGAUAUCAAUGUAUACUCCAUUUUAAUUCAUCACAAGCAUAUAUGAUUCUCCAUGAUCCCCAAAGAGCAAAAGAACUUCAAGUUUGAAAGUUGGUUCAAGGAGGUUGACCAGAAAAGUCAACUAGUCAAAUCUAGGGUUCCCUAGACUCUAUCUCCUAUAAUUUUUGUCAUAUGAAAAUGAUUCCAAGAGAAACGUUAAUAUUUAUGACAUUAUAAACAACUUUCAUGUUGGAAUCAAGAGGUAAUUUUGCUUGGAAAGUCAUGUUUUAUGGUGAAGGAUUAUGGGUCAUUUUGUCUGUGCCCUAGAUAGAAGGUCAACUUCCAAGAACCAUAACUUACUUAAUUUUCAUGAUAUAAAGAUGAUCCAAGUUUUAUGAUUAAUUUCAAGGUGUAUUAUUCAACUUUUAUUCUUUUAGUAAGGUCAAAUUACACUUUCAAGAUCAUGUUCCAUGAGAAAACAAUAUAGAUCCAUUUGGGUCCUCAUCAUUGAACAAGCAAUUUUCCUCAACUUCUAAAAUUCAUAACUCUAUCAUUCUAGCUCCAAAUGGUGUCAAAUUUAUGACCAAAUUGAAUAUAAUUUAAAUAUAUGCAAAUUUUAAGAAGGAACCAAAGUCAUUUUAAGAUCAUAUAAAGAGUUAUUCAAGGUGGAAGAAGGGGUCAUUUGACUUUUAACUUGAAAAUUUUUCAAGUAUGUUUGAUUCCUCCAACAUCAAGGCCAUAAUUCAUCAUAUUCCAAGCUUCAAAUGAAAGAAGUAUCAACAUCAAAUUUGUUCCCCAUGAUGGUAGCUUUCCAAAGAGUCAAAGAUCAUUCCAUCUGGACAAAAAUUGAGGGACUUGUGCAUGGUUUCUUUGCAUGGCCCAAUUUGGCAACUUUUGCACUCAUUUGACACACAACUUAGCAUGACUUCAUGUUAUGAUCUCAGCAUCAUUUGUGCACGAAUUUGGACAGGUUGCAAUAGUCAUUUGGGCCUAAACACAUGUCUAUGCACCCAUGCACAUUGAAUUACUAUUUUUGGCUCAAAAUUGAAAUGGUGCAAAAAUCAAUUGCAUUGCCUAUAAAUUGAGAUGCAUUGCCUCAAAAUUAAAGGGAGAACCCUUGACCACCAAUCCCAUAGCCACAUUGCAUAGAAUACCUUCAAGAUUUCAUUGAAAUCGAGCUUCUAGCUCAACUUCUGUUUGUGAACUAGAACUCCAAGGAUUCAAAUCCAUUUUGAUUCUAAUCAUCUCCUACAAGAAAGAGGAAGUAAGACCAAGUGGAAUUGCAUCAAGAUCGAGCGUCAAAGCUGCUACCCGAAGGUGAAUUUUCCAUAAUUUUAAAUCUUUGAUUCUCUCUCAUUUCUUAAUAUUUUGACUUAAAUUUUGGUUGACUGAAGCCCUACCAAUGUAGGCAUUAAUACUGGGUUGCUUUGAGGUUGAAUCGAAGCAAUUCAGUUUGAACACCUCAAUUUCAACUCCAUAUUUCUCAUUAUAGAGUGAGAGUUGGAAAAUUUGGAGGUCAUAUUUGGAAUCCUCGUGAUUUUCUCUUCAAAAUAGUGUAUGAUCCAUUUAUUUUGGUAAGCUUUUGAUCUGAACCAGUCUGAUGAAGUGGCUGGAGAAGAUGACCGAAGCUAGGGCUCUGGUAGUGUGUUGACGCAGUCCAGACCAUCUGAUCAUGAGGCCACGUUCUAAUCUAGUACAUCCAUUUGAAAUACCACUUGUACACACGCGUUGACUGCAGUGCAUGGUGGAUGUGAUGCGCUUGGCCAUCAGAUUUUCCACCCCAAUUAAUGAGGGAGAUCCGAUGACCCUCGUUUUUCUGAUUUAAUUUAAUUUUCCAAAAUUAUUUUUAAAUACCAUUUUCUUACUUAAUUCACUAUAAUUUCAAUUUUAAUCCAAAAAAUAUGGGACUACCACCACAAUUUUAUAAAUAAUUUCCUCUUCCUAUUUCUGAAUUAAAAUUAAUUUUUGGAUUGAGUUUGAUAUUUUUAGUGAAUUUUGUGAUUUUUGUCUUGUUUUUAAUUUAUUUUAAAUACUUCUGACUUUCAAAAAUUUCCAAAAAAUAUAGUCAAUGGUCCUUUGACCUUGUUUGACCUAUGAUAAAUCCCUUGACCAUCCCUUUGGUGAUUUGAAGGGAUUUGAUGUUUUUGACCUUUAAAUGUGUAUUUUUCUUCAUUUAAAUAUUGAUGUUAAUUAUUUUUAAUUAUUUUAAUAUUUUAUUGAUUUUGUGUUGACUCAAAUUUUAUUUGGCCUUGAUCUUGGUUGAAUUGGACUUCAAUUUGAUCAAUACCAUUGGAUUUAGGGGGUUGAUGAAGUUUGAACUUCAUCCCUCAAGAUGAAUGAAUGGUAUUGAUCAAGUGAGAUUCAUCCCUGGAUCAAUUUGAGAUUCUCUUUCACUUCAUCUCUUCAUAUUCAUAUCACUUCUUCCCCAAUCCAUUUCAUGGUCAAUGAUUUCUCAAAGAUCAAAUGCUAGUUAAUUCAUCAAUGAACUUGUGUCAGAUGAAUCAACAUGAGCUUGAUUGAGAUAGUUCCAUCCCCUAUUAUUUUUGUGUGUGGUAUGCUUUAGGAGCUUGGUUUUUUAUACCUUGUGUCUAGCAUGUACUAACACCAAUAUUAUUAUUGCCCAUCCUCAGAUAGUUGUGACUUCUACAUAAGUCCAAUUACGAUUGCUUAACAUAGCGCUAAAUUUGUCUCGAAAGCAAUGAUAUUUUUGUAAGUGAGAUUGUAAGUCUCUCACUCCUCAUGGUAUUGUGUGAAGAUUUUAACUCUUUUCCAUUUAUGAGAGCUAGUGGCAUACUUGUUGAUUUUAUCCAAGUUGGAGCCCUUCUCAUGAAUGAUGUCUAUGUUCAUAUCUUUAUGCUUAUGAGUGGAUGGUUGAGUGUUCUCCAAAAAAUGACUUAAACAGUUUCUUCUUUCACUAACAUCCACUAACAUUUCUUUGUAUUGACUUUAUUUUAGUGUCAUUUACUUUAAUACAAUUUAAAUUCUUGCACUUUAUCAUUCAUUGUCAUUUACAUUCAUGCAAGUUGUUUAUGUUUCAGUCAUUUUCACUUUGCUCACUUGAGCCAUUGUAUUUGUGCUUGUGAUUUUGUUCUACUUGUGGUCUUAGGACCUUAAAAUACUCAAUAACAACACAAAACUUAAAAAAUAAAUUGGUGGAUUGUUGGACCUCUGUCUAAGACUUGGUUUGGAUCCUUGGGCUUAGAGUAGGCAACAUCCCGGAGCUAUGGAAGAACUUGGCCAAGGCCAUUAAUUUGAGACCAUUUCUUGGCCAAUACCAUUGAUUUGAUACAAGCCUUGUGAGACUCUUUUGGUUCAUCUGACAUAUACUUUUUAUUUGUCCAGUUUGUUAUUUUGAUCUUAUUGUUGUUAUUUGAUGAUCUCUCUUUGAGUAUGUUUCAAGGGAUAUUUCAUCUGAUACAUCUAAAGGACAUUGAAGACUGCUUGCUUUUGGAGUGCUUGCUUGGAUGCUUGGUUAUCUUUAUUUGAUGCCAUUUGGUCUUCUUAUUAAUUGCUUCGAUGAUUAUGACUUUGUUGCUUGCUUAACAAUCCAAAGGAAAUGAGUUUCUAUCUGGCACUAUUGUCUUGUGGAUGCUUCCCCUUGGUUAGAUCUUUUCAACUCUAAACUUUUAAAUCUUGUCUAGGAUAGUCCCUUUGUUGUACCCCAAAAUUUUCCAUCCCUUUUUGCUUUUCAUCUACCUUAUGUCUUGAGAUUCAUUCAUGUGCAUCCUUCAUGAUUAACACAUGCUAACAAGCAUCAUAGGUUCAAAAUCGUGGUUAAUGAAAAUUAAGGCUUUGGCCUAAAGAUGGUGGUUUUCCUCAUCAUGUGGGUUGAAACCCUCAUUGCUUGAUUUCUUUGGGACCUUAACUCUUGAGGCCUACAUCUUGACAUUCAUUUGUACCUCCCAACCCUAAUUAUUGGCUUUUCCCAUAUGGGAUCUUGUGUUUGACUCUAGAGAUGUUUGACUUGACAUCUAAACCCUAAUGGUGGGCCCAUGGCUUGAUAUGUAUUUGCGGAGUUUUGUGCUUGGUUUAAAACCCUAAUCAAGGAUAAUUGGUGUUCAAGUGCCUUUCUUGGUUGACUUUUGGAUUUGGGAUUCAUCAAAACCCCAAUCAUUGAUCUUGGAAGGUCAUGAAUCAUGUGAUUUACUUUGAGGGGGUGGAAACCCUAGUUUNGGGGGGGGGGGGGGGGGGGUGGAAACCUUAGUUUCUGACUAUGGCAUCAUCAUCAGUGGGGUAUACAUUCAAGAUUGAGGUUUCAUUUUAUUCAUCCGGUCCAUUAUGGAUGGUUAAUGGGCUCAAAAGAUUCGUGGUCCUGAUUCAUUGAUUGGGAUUCAUUCAAAUCUUUGCAUGGUCAUGAUAUGUUGUUUGGAUGGUAUUCGUAUGGUUUAAUUCAUAACAUGGAAUAUUUCAGAGGCAUUAUGGUACAUAUUAAAUCGUCCAUAAGAAAAUACAUUUUUUUACAACUGUUUACUUUUUGGUCAACUAGUUGACCAAAGUCAACCAUCUAACCAAAGUCAUUUUCCAACCAAACGAUACAAUACAUGUCCAUGUCCGUUUCUAAAUUCACUUCAAACCACUUCGAAUCAUGUUUAUUGUCCACCUUUUAGACCAUAUUCAUCUUAUACAAUACAUGAACUUGUGUUUUUAACCCAAACCUAAUUCACAUUCCAAAUCUCAAAUCACAGUCCAUUUGUAAACCAUGAAUCAUUUUGAAACCAAAGGCAUUUUUCAAACCAUACGCCGUGCUAAUCUUUUUACCCAUAUUCAUAAUUCAUGUCCAUCAUAAACCAUUUUUAAACCAUGUUUGUUCUUACACAAACUUUGUUCAUUACAAUAGCACAAACCGAAUCAUAUUUCCAUACAUAAUUCUACCAUUCAAUUCCAAUGUCCAUACACACUCUACCCAUGAAUUUACCAUUUCAACCAUAUGCAACCUUUGUUUCCAAUGUUAUACAUAAACCAUUAACUUUGAACAUUUCUACAUUAAACCACUAACAAAUUGAUUCUACACAUUGUCAUAAACCAAUCAACAUCCAUCUUCAAAUUUCAAACUAAGUCCCAAUAGCCAUAACAUCCACCAAUUUCCAACAUUUACAAUUCCAAUUUCAUUCAACCAUUUCUUGAAUACAUAAACAUUUCCAUUACAGUUCCUAUUGACCAAAAUCCAUCUAACUAUCAUGUUACAUACACCAUUUCCAAUCACAACACUUCCAUAAAUUACAAAGUCAUGCUACAAUUGGUACAUACAUGUCAAUAAUCAACCAUACAUUUCCAAAGUACAUUUAAAUUCAAGCUUCACAACAUUACAUUCCAAAACAAAUCCAACCGUUUUCCAUAAGUCCUAACCGCUACUACAUUUCCAUGAUCUUUAAGCCAAUCCAACAUGACAUCCAAGCACCUCCAAGACGAUGGUCCAUCACCAAACACCCUUAAACCAUGACCAAAGCUCCAUGCCAAGUGAAGCCUAAAAAACAAAACCAUAACACAUCAAGCAUGUCAAACUAAUGCAUUACCAAACAACCAUAACAAUUCAUUCAACAAUCAUCAUAUUCAUCAUAUGGCAUCAUCAACUUAGCAACAUUUCAAAUCCACACCAAGCUAAGUUCAUUACAAGAUCUAAAAUUCAAGCAUAGAAGUGAAUUGCAUUCAAUUGAUACAUUUUCUAACAACCAAGCACUCAAUUCAAAUGGCCAUCCAUAUCAAAUACAAUGUUCAUAUCAAUUUAGACUAUAACAAACUAACACUCAAGGCAAUGUGUUAUAGCUUAUUUAUUCAACAUUCACUAACCAAUGCUAACUGACCAAUCACAGCAUAUUAACAGACUUGGUACGACAACCCAAUACAGAAUUAACAUGAUAGCAGUACAUUCACAACAAGGCCAUGGCAUAACUAGCAUAACUAAAUUCAUAACAGAACCAUCUUUUUCAAUCAAAUAAUUUCUAACAAUUAACUCCAAUCGCUAUCUAACAUCACUGCAGCGGAUUCUAGAGGCAACAACUCAUAGAAUUCAUGAACAUCAAUGCAUUCCCAAGAAUUAACAUUAACUCCAACUGAUAUUUUCACAGCAAAAGUUGAAGACCCAUGUAAAUAUCACAGUGUAAUCAGGAAACUCAACAUAAUAAUAAAAGACAGACUUUUCUACUUUGAUUUCAGUUUAGUAAUAAUAACACUUAACCAUUUCAUUUGACAUAAAUUAAUAACUAAUAGAAGUUAGUUAAUAGUUUAACAUUCCAAAAGCAUUUCCUACUAACCUUUUUCAACAGUCUGUUACACAUCUAGUAGGAUUUUAACAGAAAUUUCCAAAACUAAUCUUUAACAGAAUGAUUAACAGAAUUAGGAUCUUCCAACUAAACCAACCUAACUUCCUAACCGUUUUCACAAUUGAAUAAAACUAACUCAAGCUAACCGUAACAGGGGCAUACCUUCGAAGUUGAUCUCAAAAAAACGAAGCUGAGAGUUUCCAUCUUCAUCUUCGUCUCCAUGCCAUACACAAACCCGAUACGUUCUUCUUUUAAAAACCGUUACCAAUUCCCGCGCAAAGACGAGUGAUUAGCGGAUUUCUGUUUCAGAUGUUCGUAAUUCGAAUUCAAGUGGUGAACACAGAUUCAAAGCUUGCGAUUGAAUGAGUCAGGGGAGGUCGAGUGCGCGUGUGCAAGUUCUUGCUUUGUUCAUGGUUGUGAGCAUGGGUUCGAAUGGAGUAUGGAGCCACAAGUUUGUCUAGAAGGAAUGAAUCUCCUCUGCACGUGUUGGAUUUGACAUAAAUUGGCUGAUGCAAUUUCGCGAUUGGAUGCGGAAACUCAACGUGUUCGUUGUUGUUUCACCGUGGUUCAUCGAUGUUUGUCGCUUCACCGAGGCUUGAGGUGGCAUAACGAGUGGAUGUCAAAGUCGCGCAUCAUGUUUUACGACGUACUAAGCUCUUCUGAAUAAGUGCUUCUCAUUUCCUGCUCCAUCACAUGAAGAACACGGUGGACCCGGUUUCCUUCACAUUAGGUUAUGGCCGUUUGGGCAUAAGGCCCAAAACGGACUCUCUUCACCCUCCUUCGAUCCAGUGCACCCCUCCUCUCUAGGGAUUGUUGGACAGGGCCUGUUUGCAGCCCAAAGUUCCUUCCAGCAUGCACAUGGGCUUGCCUUCGGUUGGCUUUGGGCCUUGCUGGUUUGGAUAUGUUGUUUAGAUUUGAUUUGCAAUUGUUAGAAUUUAAUUGAGUUUUUAGCUUACUUAGAUAUUAAUUUAAUUAGGUUUUAAUUAGGAUUAAUCCAUUAAUCAUAUGAUUAGGCUAAUUAGAUUUUAGGGUUAAUUAGGUUUUUAGGUUUUAGCUUAAUUUCUUUAAUAUGGAUUUUAGAUUUCAAUUAGAACUUAAAUGUAGUUUAAUCAGAAGUAAUUAGGUUUAAGUACAAUUUAAUUGAUUUUAGAAUUUAAUUGAUGAAUUUCUAACAUUAGAAUAGUGUUAGGAUUCGAUCACAAUUUUUGGCUAAAAUUAGACAUAUCCUUGUAAAAUGACUUUUUUACCCUUUAAGGCUUAUUUUGGUAUUUUGACCAUAUAAUUGCAUGAUCCCCUAGGAUUAAUUUUAACAUAGAAUUUUAAUAAGUUUUGACCAACAUAUUACAUGUUCCCUUAGAAUAACUUGUAACAUUCUAACCAUUAGAUUAGGAUUAACCUAGUUCUCAAAAUCAAAUCAAACCCUCGAUUCAAGCUGAUCAAAAGUAAUUUUGGUAAACUAAAUCCUUUGAUCUUGUAUAAUCCCACAGUCUAAUUGGAGUGACCAAAAGGCCAUUGGUAACUUAAUAAGACUUUUUCUAUAAGGUUGGAGCUCGAAGCUUUAAGUUAAACUCUCAAUCAAGGCAUCCCCAAUCAUACCAAGCAGUGAAUCAUACAAGUCACAUCAAAGGUGAUUCUUCAAGAGCAUGUUAAGUCAAAGUUAGAAUUGUGUGGCACGAGCCUUAAGCAAUAGAGAAGGAAUGGGACUGGAGAAUUCCUACCCCCAUUAUGAAUAUCUUUGGGUGCGGGACGAAUGACCCAAUUGCUCAUCGUAUUCACCUUUGUUCAUAGAGUUUAUCAUAAUUUAAAUCAUACGAUUAUCAAAUAUCUCUUUUCACCAAGCAGUGGUGCAACAAGCAAAGGACUUCACUAACAAACUUAUCAAUAAUGAUUCAAGUUGUACGACAUGAGCCUUAAGCAAUAGAGAAUGAAUGAGACUGGAGAAUUCAUACCCCCAUUCUGAAUAUCUUUGGGUACGUGACGCUUGACCCAGUUGCUCAUUGUAUUCACCUCUAUUCAUAGACUUUAGUGCAAUUCGAAUCAAAUGAUUGAUAAGGUCUUCUUCAUCACUACAAGAAGCAACAACAAAGACUCUCCUCCCAUAACUUGAAAGUCAGGAUGAGAAUUACAUGCCACGAGCCUUAAGUAGUAAAGAAGGGAUGAGACUAGAGCUUUCCUACCCUCAUUCUGGAUAUAUUUGGGUGCAGGAUGUUUGGCCUGUUGCUCAUGGUAUCCACCUUUACUCAUAGACUUUAGUGUGGUUCUUACCAAAUAACUAUCAAGUCUCUUCCACAUUCAGUCAAUCAUUUUCUUUUGCCUCAAUCAUUUUUGCUUUCAGUCCUAGUGGGUUGAACUAUGAAAGCUCUGAUUUCCUUAUUGCACUAUAAGGAAACGUAGGCAGGAGAAUUCAGAAUCUUCGCGAGUUACCCUAUUUAUUGAUCCACCAAUCAUUCUUCACUCAUCAAUCAAUACCAUCUUUUUGAGAUCAAUAUACUUCUCCUUGGACUCAUUGUACAUCUUUUUAGGACGAUAUAACGGCAGUCCACCUCAUGAAUCAAGAGUUGUUUGGAUCGCCCCCAAACAUUUAAUUCAUUCUUUUUUGGCUAAGACGCCAAUUUGCUCUUCGGUUCAGAGUCUAUCUCCUUCAUGGAUCCAAGAUACUAUUCUUGUUUGAUCUCAAACUAUUUGUUCCCCAGCAAGUGAUAUAUUGUUCCUUGUACCUAACAAUACUUUCUUUUGGGGCCCCGCUUAUACCCUUUUAGGACGAUAUAGCGGCACUCCACCUUGUGAAUCAAGAGUUGUUUGGAUCGUACCCAGACAUUAAAUUCACCUUAUUUUUUGCCAUACCCUAUAGUGGCAGCCCUGCUAGCCCACGUAUCGGUUAACGCCAGUUUUACUCUUUGGUUCCAAGUUCACUCUCCACUUGUGGGUUCCCUUGAUACCAUUCUGUUGGUACAAGCUAUACUUUUCAUCCCUAUCAAUCUUCCCUUUGUUUUUGUGGUUCCACGAACUGCGAUUGCUCUGACUUUCUCAUCGCACAAUGAGAAUACGUAGGCACGAGGAUGCGAAUCCUUGGCGAGCAUACUUCUAAUUAUUCCUUCUUCCUCCUUAGGGAAUCAAUCACAUCUUUCACGAUCUAGUAUCUACCUUCAAUCAUAAAACGUUCACCCAGUGACAUAUUAUUCCUUUAACACCGAAAUACAGUUUUCUUUGGAAUUCCAUAUAUACCCUUUUAGGACGAUAUAACGACAAUCUUCAUUUAUACCUAGAGUUAUUUGGCUCAUACCUGUUGUACCCAAAAAUUUUCCCUCCCCUUUCUCACCUAUGCAUCUAAUCACUUGAUCAGGAAAUGAUUUGCAUACAUUCAUAAUUCAUCCACAUGCAUCAUUCAUCAUGGAUUCAGAAGAAACUUGGGCUUAUAAAGCUAGGGUUUGUAUAGAUAUCAAAGCUCAAGGGCAUGGUCCGAUCACAUCAUCGACAUGGGGAAUGUGGAACCCUAAGGAUGUUGGUGAAGGCUUGAUCUCAACAAAGGUGUGACCAGACAAUCUAGGGCCUACAAAGCCCUAAAUCCUCAAGGCAUGACUUCAUGGAGCCUCCCUAGGCUUUAUCUUGGCCUCCAAAGCCCUAAUCAGAAGAUGGUGAAUCAGAUGAACUUGGUGGCUCCACUGUGCAUUCAUGACCCUUCAAUCUUCACCCUUUGUCAUUUUUGCUUGGCCUAACCCUUCUUGGAGCAUUGGUCUUGGUCCCAAGUCAAUGGUUCUAUUCAUAUGGUUGUGGAUAUACCUUUGGUCUUGGUCAUCUGAACAACCAAACACCUUGUGUUUCAAGCCACUUGUUGGUCAUGCCAUUGGUUCAUGGACACUAUGUCAAAACCCUAACCUUAUAGUCUCAUUUGAUGGCCUUGUUCAUGUACAUUAUCAGUCAAGUUAUUUUUCAAAAGUCCAACAUCCAAGUCAUAAAACAAAACAAUUUGGAAACCAACUUCAAACCAUUUGUUAAUCCAUUUUAAUCUAUUUCAUGUCAUUUUAAACCAUUACAUAUGAUUGUAUAUAAGAAAAUAUAAAAUUUGAUAUUUUUGACCAAUUGUUGACUUUGGUCAAUAGUUGACUUUUUGGUCAACUUUGACCAAAGUCAACCAAAAAUCCCAAAACCCUAAAUUUCACCAUGAUCCUCAAUCCAUUGUCCAUUUACAAAGAAAAUGCCAAGAAAAUGAAAUGACCUUUUGUUGACUUUGGUCAACAGUUGACUUUUUGGUCAACUUUGACCAAAGUCAACCUCCCCAUUUUUUGGUCAUCCAAAACCUAAUCUAGCCUUUGCCUUGAUUCUUCAUCCAAUUUUCAUGAUUGUUUGUGUUAUCUUUUGGUUGCUUCAUUUCCAAGUAAACGGUCUUGUUUCUACCUCAUGCAUACCAUGCCUUGCUUGACAUGUUGGCUCAUCUAGUCUUGGCCUUAGUUUGCCAUGAACCAGGUCUUAAUACAAUAUAAUGCAGCAUCAAUAAAUCCAUCAUCUAAUGCCUAAUCCAAAUGCAAUGUCAUGCUACAAUGAAAAGCUUGGACUCGUCAUAUGGUAACGUGUGAUACAUCAGUUCUUGCCCUGGCUUGCUGCAGUGUACAUGUUCAACAACCCUGCAACAUCCCAUGAUUGGCUGCAGCCAUAUGCCUGCAGCAUCUUGAGCCUUUGAGUGGCAUUCAGUCCGUCAAUAGAAAAUAGGCCAUAGCCAUUUCAAACACAGCUAGUAUUGCUACAUCAUCAUGACAAUCAGGCAUCCAAAUGGUUCAGCAGCUUGAACAUCAGACCAUUGCAACAUGCAACCUCCAUAAUCUUGUUGCAACAACCAUAACCUAUCCUGCAGAAAAGCCAACUCACGACCAAAAAC